AGAGUUUGAUUAUGGCUCAGGAUGAACGCUAGCUACAGGCUUAACACAUGCAAGUCGAGGGGUAGCAGGGUAGCAAUACCGCUGACGACCGGCGCACGGGUGAGUAACACGUAUCCAACCUUCCCAUAACUCAGGGAUAGCCUUUCGAAAGAAAGAUUAAUACCUGAUAGUACUUUUUCAAGGCAUCUUGAGAAAGUUAAAGAUUUAUUGGUUAUGGAUGGGGAUGCGUUCCAUUAGAUAGUUGGUGAGGUAGCGGCUCACCAAGUCUUCGAUGGAUAGGGGUUCUGAGAGGAAGGUCCCCCACAUUGGUACUGAGGCACGGACCAAACUCCUACGGGAGGCAGCAGUGAGGAAUAUUGGUCAAUGGGCGAGAGCCUGAACCAGCCAAGUAGCGUGAAGGAUGGAAGGUCCUAUGGAUUGUAAACUUCUUUUAUAGUAGAAUAAAGUGAUCCACGUGUGGAUUUUUGUAUGUAUACUAUGAAUAAGGAUCGGCUAACUCCGUGCCAGCAGCAGC
rnacentral:rRNA from 1 species